rnacentral:rRNA from 1 species
GCUCGGAUGAACGCUAGCUACAGGCUUACACAUGCAAGUCGAGGGGCAGCAUCAUCAAAGCUUGCUUUGAUGGAUGGCGACCGGCGCACGGGUGAGUAACACGUAUCCAACCUGCCGACAACACUGGGAUAGCCUUUCGAAAGAAAGAUUAAUACCGGAUGGCAUAGUCUUCCCGCAUGGGAUGAUUAUUAAAGAAUUUCGGUUGUCGAUGGGGAUGCGUUCCAUUAGGCAGUUGGCGGGGUAACGGCCCACCAAACCUACGAUGGAUAGGGGUUCUGAGAGGAAGGUCCCCCACAUUGGAACUGAGACACGGUCCAAACUCCUACGGGAGGCAGCAGUGAGGAAUAUUGGUCAAUGGACGAGAGUCUGAACCAGCCAAGUAGCGUGAAGGAUGACUGCCCUAUGGGUUGUAAACUUCUUUUAUACGGGAAUAAAGUUAGCCACGUGUGGCUUUUUGUAUGUACCGUAUGAAUAAGGAUCGGCUAACUCCGUGCCAGCAGCCGCGGUAAUACGGAGGAUCCGAGCGUUAUCCGGAUUUAUUGGGUUUAAAGGGAGCGUAGGCGGGUUGUUAAGUCAGUUGUGAAAGUUUGCGGCUCAACCGUAAAAUUGCAGUUGAUACUGGCGACCUUGAGUGCAACAGAGGUAGGCGGAAUUCGUGGUGUAGCGGUGAAAUGCUUAGAUAUCACGAAGAACUCCGAUUGCGAAGGCAGCUUACUGGAUUGUAACUGACGCUGAUGCUCGAAAGUGUGGGUAUC